CAUUAGUAGUCACACCCUCAUUGGUAGUCUUAUCACAAAAGCAAAGGCCUGUAGGACUCGGAGCGUGGAGAUCUGUUGGAAGAAACCCAGACCUCCCUGAGAAAGUGAAUAGUUUUUCAACAACUGAAUCACAUUUAGGGGAUGGGGGGAGAAGGGCGUGUGCUAUUUUUGAGUUUUGGGAGUGAAAGAAAAUUCUUCUUAUAAACCAGUUACAAUUAAGCCUUCCCAAAGAAAUGCCUACACACACACACAAUCCGUAUGGAAAAAUACAACUGUAACAUGAGUUUUGGUAUUAUUUCUGUGGAAAACAGAUCUUCCUGAUCCCCCAAAAGGGGUGAAAUACAAUGCUAUCCUGUAAUAGGCAAUACACUUACAAAUGAGAACCUUAUUGAUGUAUCUUUUGCCUUCAGUUUCUUAUGUAAAUGCCCAAAGAUAUCUUAUAAUUCAGGCAAGAGCUUUGUGGUUUGGGUUGCUGCAGCCAGAUUGUAUUUAUGAAGGAUAAAGCCACCAUGUAAAACUUUGAGUGCCUAUUGGAAACCUACAGAUUAUCCUUUUCUUCUAUUGCUUAAUUACCAGAUAAAUUUGUCAUUCUUGUAUUUUAAAGUUAUUUUUGUUUAGUCAUUUCUCUGUAUUGAGGCAAGCUUUUGUGCUGUUCCUGUGCAAAUUUAGGUUAAAACACUGCUGAUGAAAGAUGUCUUAAAAGAGAAAAUACUAUUGGUAGCAUUUAUGCUUAAAUUUAUGACCUACUGCUAACAGGUGGAGCUGCUGUCAAAACUGUGGUACAUUAGCACAAGUAUCUGAUAAUGAAGGAUGGCAUUCAUUUGAUCUUGUUUCGGAUUGAACAACUGCACAGUUGAUCAGCUUCCCUUAGUGUUUUAUUUGUGUAACAAUUUUCAAAUCUAAUCUAUGUCUGAAUAGAUUACUUUAAAAACACAAGUGUUAAAUAAAUGACAGGUCAAUUCCAGCAAGUCUCAUUUUGGUGACUCUCUAAAACAGGAAAUUUUGUGGCAACAUCUGGGAGAUUUAAAAUAAAAUAUUUUGAUUGCAUUACCUAUUACAUUAAAUAAUACAGUAUUGUUAAUUGAUACUCAUUUUCUCUGGGCUCUCAAGUUUUCAAUGUACUGUAACGUUUAUACUAUACAAAUUAAUUUAUAUAAAUUGUUUUGGAAAGGGAUGUUGAAAGAAACUUCAAGUUUUGGCAGCUAGAUUGGGGGACAUUUAGGGUUUCUGGAGUCUGGGAAGGUGUGUCAAGACAGUUUGGGAUUGUGGGAUAAGCAUAUUAGCAGCAUGUUCCUGAUUAAGUGGUCAUCAGUGAAAUAGCUAAUGAUCACCAAAAUGUUAGUGAUAGAUUUCAGAGUCAGUAUGAUUUCGAAGAGAAUGGGGAAGUCUGCAUUUCUCAGAAUUAUUGUCUUAGGCCUGGUCUACACUACAGAGUUAGGUUGAAGGAAGCCGCCUUAAAUUGACCUGUUAAUGUAUAUGUCUACACUACUGGGUCCUUUAUGCUGACCUAAAUUGCCUCUAAUGUCAACUUCUGUAAUCGACCUCCGCGAGAGGCGCAGCGCUUAAUUUGAUUUUCAUGGGUCGACUGUGAAGUAGUGCAGACGCAGCGUUGGGUAAUUCGACUUAAUUGGCCUCCAGGUGGUGUCCCACAAUGCUCAUCUGUGACCGCUCUGUAGAUCAUUCUCUACUCUGCUGCACUACAGCCAGGUACACAGGAAACAGCCCCUCCCCUGCUAAAGCCCCAGGAAUUUUUGAUUUCCCAUUUCCUGUUUGAUCAGCAUUGGGAGCGUGCUGGCUUGAGCACAGCUGAUCAUGGAGACUACACUCCAGCCUGGUCUGCACAGGAGGUGGUGGAUCUCAUCGCUGUGUGGGGAGAAGAGUCUGUACAGGCAGAGCUCCGAUCCAGCAGAAGAAACGCUGACGUCUAUGCAAAGAUCGCUCAGGGAAUGGGGGAGAAGGGCUACAUGAGGGACACACAGCAGUGGUUCGUGAAAAUAAAACAACUUUGCCAAGCAUACCAGAAAGCAAGGGAGGCGAACAGUCAUUCUGGUGCUGAACCCCACACGUGCCAGUUCUACAAUGAGCUGCAGGUGAUUCUCGGGGGUGACCCAGUACCCCCACAAGCAACAUGGACACCUCAGAGGUGUGUGAGUCUAGGGACAACAGGGAGGAUGAUAUGGUGGAUGAGGAAGAGGAGGAGAAUGGGAGACAGGCGAGCGGUGGAUCCAUUCUCCCUGAGAGCCAGGAAAUAUUUUUAACCCUGGAGUCCUGUGUAAACAGCUUCCUUUGGUGCUAUGGGGAGGGGCGAUUGUUCGACUAGCUACCUCUGCUCCUGACAUGAGCCUGCCAUAAACUUCAUUAAAAGUGUGGUCACGCAUAACUGGGGGUGGGUGCUACUUACCAUGGCUGGAACAGCAAAACAGCACCGUGAACAGUUCUGAUUAUGUCUUGGACCUACUAUAAUAAAGGGUUUUUUUU